rnacentral:rRNA from 1 species
UACGUAGGGGGCAAGCGUUGUCCGGAUUUAUUGGGCGUAAAGAGCGUGUAGGCGGCCCGAUAAGUCCGCUGUGAAAGUCCAGGGCUCAACCCUGGAAUGCCGGUGGAUACUGUCGGGCUCGAAUCCGGAAGAGGUGAGUGGAAUUCCUGGUGUAGCGGUGAAAUGCGCAGAUAUCAGGAAGAACACCAAUGGCGAAAGCAGCUCUCUGGGACGGUACUGACGCUGAGACGCGAAGACGUGGGGAGCGAACAGG